AGGAUCUAUUGCCAGAAUUGGAAGCCAGAAGUCCCCCCAAGCAUUUCUUUAUGUUACUGUUAAAAAAUGAAGAACCAACGAAUGAAAUAAUUAGAUUAAUGCUCAGCAGGGAGACCAAGUCGAGGGGAGAUCCAUUUGUAACCUCAGCUUUAAGAUUCUGGUGUCAACGGUAUGAAGCAAAGCUUUCUUAAAUCAUAGCGUCUUUGGUUACAUCCAAAUAUCCAAGUUCUUCUCCUAACAAAAGAAAACGACCAUCUAAGGGGACUUCCAUCUCGAAUAGUUCUUCUUCUGCUGAUCAAGUAUUAAGUCAUUUGGAGCAUUAUAGAAGAACUUGCAGGCAUGGUACUGGUACUGGACUUUACGUUCAUGAUAUGAUGCAGAGAGCACUGCAAUCAGCAUAUUCUCACAGUAACGAGCGCGCAAAGAAACAAUAUAGCGAUCCUUUUGCUCCGGCGGCUGAAGACGACACAACAGUUGUUGGCCGAUGUGGAGGGAGUGGUCGUGGCCGGAAGCAAGUAGUCAAUAAAAAGGAUUCCAACACCCAUAGCUCGUCAAGAGGAUUGGUCCAAACCUAAAAUGACGCAAACGGCUAAGAGAAAAAAAUAUAAAUGAUUCUGACUGACAAUUGCAAUCUCAAUAUCUGAUGUGUUGUUGCGCCGAAAAAAAUCAAUUGAAAACAGAACAGAUCUUCUUAAAAUAAGAAA